rnacentral:misc_RNA from 1 species
AAGCACGAAUAAUGCAACAGCUUAGUAAUCAACGAUUCAAAUUUGCAACAAUCGACAUGUAAUUUAUAAUACAACAAUAAACAAUGCAAAAUAUACAAAGAACAACUCAUUAAAUACAAUCCCAACAAUAAAACAAAAAUUUGAAAAAAAAAGCCAGCAAUGCCAUUACCUCUUGCCCUCUCCAAAAUUCUAGAUCUGUAUCAGUAAAUACAUGAGGGAAGAAGGAAAGGAGUCGACAUUGCUGACAUUGAGAACACAAACAUGAAGAGUUGCAGAGAAUCCAAAAUCUUACGAGGGAAGAAGAAUGCGAAUAUCGGCAUCACCCAUGCCAAAAACUGCUUUGUAAGCUAUAAUGAGAUAAGUUGUGACUCAUGAGCAUGAGGGAUAGAUAGCCAAGCCUGAAUAUCUAAAUUGCACUAAAUGAACUUUUAAAUUUGGAUUGGGGAAGAUUUUAUUUUCUUAAGGAUGGAGAAGAAUAAUUCUUGAUUAUCAUUAAAGGAACUUAUAGAUUUAGACAAGAAUAGGGGACAAAAUAGGCUUGCUACUUUGGCUCUUGCUGUUGGAGUAAGUAACAGGUUUAGAUUUUGAUUA